GCCCGCCUAGCUCAAUCGGAUAGAGCGUCAGACUCUUAUCCCUCUGUUAACUAGGUGGAAUGUGAUAUCUGAAGGCUGCGAGUUCGACCCUCGCGGUGGGCU
rnacentral:tRNA from 1 species